rnacentral:lncRNA from 1 species
CUUUAAAAGAAUCACUUAUAAAGGAAGAAAUGAAACCCGGGGAUGAUCAGAAGUCUGAAUUAAUUUUUUUGUUAUUUUACUUUCGUGUUUUUCUGCUUUCUUCAAGGUGAUGGUAUUAGGAGGUAGGGACUUUGGUAGGUGAUUAGGUCGUGAGGAUGGAGUCGUCAUAAAUGCAAUGAGUGCUCUCAUAAAAGAGGCCCCAGAGAGCUGCCGCAUCCCUUCUGCAUGUGAAAAUGCAUCAAGAAAAUGGCCCUCACCAGACACCAAAUCUACCAGUUCCUUAAUUUGGGACUUCCCAGCUUUCAGAACUGUGGGAAAUAAAUUUCUGUUGUUUAUAAGCCACUCAGUUUAUGAUAUUUUAUUAUAUAACUGCCCACACUAAAAUAAUUAUUAUUUGGUAUGUCUCUCCAGCAUUGUACCCUACUGUCUAUCACUAUAGGCACUUAGAGAUGUGUUGUUUUUGAAUGGCUGGUCACAGGGUCUAAUUGAAGUCACUCGUGCCUCUUCAGGCUCAGCAACUCAACUAUAGUCUGGUAAUAGUAUCUUUGGCCAAACAGUAUAGAAAUAAACAACACGGUGGGUUCAGAUCUUACCAACGAUCCGAACCCUAAUUAGUUGAAAACAUACCAAGAAUGUUGCCAUC